UACGUAGGGGGCUAGCGUUGUCCGGAAUCAUUGGGCGUAAAGCGCGUGUAGGCGGCCCGGUAAGUCCGCUGUGAAAGUCGGGGGCUCAACCCUCGGAUGCCGGUGGAUACUGUCGGGCUAGAGUACGGAAGAGGCGAGUGGAAUUCCUGGUGUAGCGGUGGAAUGCGCAGAUAUCAGGAAGAACACCAACGGCGAAGGCAGCUCGCUGGGACGGUACUGACGCUGAGACGCGAAAGCGUGGGGAGCGAACAGG
rnacentral:rRNA from 1 species